GAUGAACGCUGGCGGCGUGCCUAAUACAUGCAAGUCGAGCGAACAGACGAGGAGCUUGCUCCUCUGACGUUAGCGGCGGACGGGUGAGUAACACGUGGAUAACCUACCUAUAAGACUGGGAUAACUUCGGGAAACCGGAGCUAAUACCGGGUAAUAUAUUGAACCGCAUGGUUCAAUAGUGAAAGACGGUUUUGCUGUCACUUAUAGAUGGAUCCGCGCCGCAUUAGCUAGUUGGUAAGGUAACGGCUUACCAAGGCGACGAUGCGUAGCCGACCUGAGAGGGUGAUCGGCCACACUGGAACUGAGACACGGUCCAGACUCCUACGGGAGGCAGCAGUAGGGAAUCUUCCGCAAUGGGCGAAAGCCUGACGGAGCAACGCCGCGUGAGUGAUGAAGGUCUUCGGAUCGUAAAACUCUGUUAUUAGGGAAGAACAAAUGUGUAAGUAACUAUGCACGUCUUGACGGUACCCAAUCAGAAAGCCACGGCUAACUACGUG
rnacentral:rRNA from 1 species